GUUGGCAGUAAGGAGAAAAAGAUCUACCAGGCAAGUGCCUGCAAGUCAUAGUACCUCAGGGAUUCCAAUCAACAUUUGCUUGCUGGUGAGUGGUUCUACUUCAAGUUAAGAAACAAAUUCUCAUGGCAAACUGCUUGGAUACUGUUUCCCAAAAGUUAGAAGAACCAAGCCUGCAAGGUGGCAUGGAUUCCUCCGGAAGGACUCCACCCAACUUUGGUCUCAGCAGGCCCUGCUGAGAACAGCCUCGUCACAGAAAAGUGCUGAGGAGGAUGCAAAAGUCUCCAUCAAGGUGCCACUGUGAAAGAAGAAACAUAUUUGAUUACAUCAUGUUCACCGCCCAAAGACUAAUUAAUUAUUAAGACCAAAAAACCCAAAAAACCAAAAAUUGGAAAAUGACUAGUGUUGGUGAGGAUGUGGAGAAAGUGGAACCCUCGUGCCUUGCCAGUGGAAAUAUAAAAUGAUGCAGCUGCUGUGGAAAGCAGAGUGGUGGUUCAAAAAGCUGGACAAAGCUCUCCUUGAAGACAGGACCAUGUCUUAUUCAACUUUGUAAUCCCAGGACCUGGCACAAAAGCUGGCACCUAUUCAGUGCCUUGGUUCUUUGAGUGUGGCCCUGGACCAGAAGCAUCAACAUCAACCAGGAACUUACUAGAAAUGCACUUUCUUGGGUGCCCCACAAGACCUGCUGAAUCAGAAACUCUGGGGAUGUAGUUCAACACCUGUGCGCUGACAAGCCCUCCAGGUGAUCCGGAUACAUGCUCACGUUUGAGAACCGUGGCUUUACGGGAGAAAACAGUCAUGAUUGCUUACAACAGAAUACCAUAAAUUGCUUUUUGAAAAGCAGUGCAAUAUAUGGGCAUACUAAAAUUGAAGCAUGACAGAUAAAUAUGACAUCAGGAUGUCAUCCAAUGAAAAAUAGAUUUUUUAUUCUGUGUCCUGGACACGGCAUUGCUGAUUUUUAUUUAUCCACCUUUCUCCUGCCUGAGGGAAAACAAGUAUUUAAAAUGCAUUGCUAUUUGCAUUGAAGAGCUUGUCUGCUCCCUGAAGCCUCAAGAUCAUUCCUCAAAGACACGGAGUGCUGAUUGGGACAUCCCGCAGGUUAAAGUGAGUUUCGGACUCGAUGGUUCUGCACAGCAAAGCUGGGCCGUGUCCCACUUCAACCUCACUUUAUGGGAUUUACGGCACAUUUUGAAGAUGAGUGAUUAGAAGAUAAAGACUGGAGAAGUUUGCUCCUUGGUGACUGAGGUAAGGAGGGAUGUAUGUGGAGCAUUUUGAAUUUAGUUUUGAUGGUCUUUUGAAGGAAACUGGGUUCCUUGGACCCAGCUUGUGAUCCAGAGACUUCAUGUGGAGAAGAUGGGGAAUUUCUGAUAGGCCAG
rnacentral:lncRNA from 1 species